UACAGAGGUCUCGAGCGUUAGGCGGAAUCACUGGGCUUAAAGCGUGUGUAGGCGGAUCGGUAAGUACCUUGUGAAAAUCCCACAGCUUAACGGUGGAACUGCUUGGUAUACUGCCGGUCUUGAGCCAGCUAGGGGCUACCGGAACAAAAUGGUGGAGCGGUGAAAUGCGUAGAUAUCAUUUGGAACGCCAAUGGGUGAAAACAGGUAGCUGGGGCUGUG
rnacentral:rRNA from 1 species